UUAACUCUAAUUUGUAUUGUAGGAACAGCUUCCCUUAGUUUGCCGCUAGGGGCGCUGCUCCAACUCCAUACAAAUUUGAGUUA
rnacentral:pre_miRNA from 1 species